UACGGAGGGAGCUAGCGUUGUUCGGAAUUACUGGGCGUAAAGCGCGCGUAGGCGGCUUUGUAAGUUAGAGGUGAAAGCCCGGAGCUCAACUCCGGAACUGCCUUUAAAACUGCAUCGCUUGAAUCCAGGAGAGGUGAGUGGAAUUCCGAGUGUAGAGGUGAAAUUCGUAGAUAUUCGGAAGAACACCAGUGGCGAAGGCGGCUCACUGGAGCUGGUAUUGACGCUGAGGUGGCGAAAGCGUGGGGAGCAAACAGG
rnacentral:rRNA from 1 species